AUUACCAGGUCCAAAGCAUCCACCUGGACAUUUGAAUUCACGAAAAACGGAGAUAAGUGGUUACAAAUGAAUCGACCAAAACACCCAGAACUACUAAUACUGACGAAGAAGGGAAAUAAUUAGUUACAAAAAGCUCAUCUGGAAAAUGUCUAAAGAUUACUUUCAAAUUUGACUCGGAUACAAAAAUAACUGUAAUGGAAAAAUGGGAACAAUUAACUGGAUGGUAAAAUGUGAAACUCGUACGAACAGUUGAAGGAAAUAAAAUGACAGCAGUUAUGGAAGAUCUGGAAAGUGGAGAAAAGAUGACCCAAAUUCUCGAGAAAUGCACAUAGUCUGAGGAAACAAAAUAGUGGAGUGGUAAUAACCUUCAUCAGGUGGUGUUGUUUGAAUAUUUACCAGUACAUUCUUAAAACGUCAUUUAAUACUGACUGAAUGUGUUUGUUAUGAAAUGCAAUGUAGAAAAAGCCACAAAAGAACAAAAGAAAACAGAAGAUCUUUCAAGAAUCUUAGGCCACAAUAUUCAAAGCAAUUCACAAUUAAUCUGAUAUUAAAACAAACGAAAUUGCUUUUUG